GCGAAGGUGGCGGAAUUGGUAGACGCGCUAGCUUCAGGUGUUAGUGUCCUUACGGACGUGGGGGUUCAAGUCCCCCCCCUCGCACCAA
rnacentral:tRNA from 2 species